CCUGAAUGCCACUUUUUCUGUGAUGCUUGAAGUAAGAAUCUUCUGCAGAAACAAUAAUGUCCCCUUUAAGGGUUUCACUAGUGGUCCUCUGGCUUCAACUGAGUGGGGUGAGCGGCCAGCAGAAGGUGCAGCAGAACCCAGAAUUCCUCAGUGUCCCAGAGGGAGCCAUGGCCUCUCUCAACUGCACUUUCAGUGAUAGUGCUUCUCAGACCUUCUGGUGGUACAGACAACAUUCCGGGAAAGGCCCCCAGGCGGUGAUGUCCAUCUUCUCCAAUGGUGACAAGGAAGAAGGCAGAUUCACAGCUCACCUCAAUAGAGCCAGUCUGCAUGUUUCUCUGCACAUCAGAGACUCCCAGCCCAGUGACUCUGCUGUCUACCUCUGUGCAGUGAGCACACAGUGCUCCCCGGGCACCUGCAGCCUGCACACAAACAUACUGGGCCACAGCAAGGUCUGA